CUCUUCUUUAAUCUCUCUCUCCAAAUACCCUUGAGAAAAUGGAGGAAUAUGCCAAAGCAUUUGCUAUAUUUGCUAACUGCGGUACCACUAGCCUACGUUUUUCUAUUUGUGAAAAACAAUUCCAGUUAAGCUAAUUUUUGUUCUUUUGCAGUCUAUUCCAGCUUUGACACACAUAUAUAUAUAUAUAACUUUACCUUAUAUAAAAAGUUCUUGUUCUUGUGCAGGAAGUUCACCUUGCUAACUACACUAUACUAAAGUAUAAUUCCUCAAAAGUCAAGUAACUAAAUUUAGAGCUAUAAUCUACGUUUUUUUUUUUUUUUUUUGGCGCUUCCAGAGAACCACAGGGAGCAGAUUGUUAUGUUCCCUUUACUUGAUUUACAAGAUGGAUUUCUUCUUUAUAUGUUUUUUUUUUUUUUUUGGUAUUUUUGUCUACGUGGUAAUACUAAGUGUCUUUAAUUCCCAGUUCUCUCACUCUCUCUCCCUUUGUUUUUUUUUUAAUAAUGUGAUUAUUUGUAGUAACCAUUGAAGUGGAUUAUGCACCCAAGAUGUUUGAUGAUAUAUGCCUGACUCCUCUUAUUUGCAGUAAUGAAGUCCACAGGUUUUGUUUUAGGUUUGCCGUGAACUCGCACGAAGGGCAGUGAUCUAGCCAUAAGAGAAAGUCAUCAUGAUCUUGAGGCUUGGUUGAAUUAGACUUGGAGGAAACAUUUGAGUAUUUUGCUGAAGUAGUUUGUAUGGAACGAGAAGGCUGAGUGCUAUAGAUACACUCUCCAAAAUUCACAUGCAUCCUGAUCGGCGAGAUAAAAUUGAAAAUGGAGGAAGAGAAUAUUUCUUAGUCCUGCUAAAUUUUCAAAUAUUCUAUCUUGGUCAUAGUAUGUUGACUAUGUUCUGUUGUCGCUCAGAGGCAUGUUCAUAUGAAGAGUAUAUAAAAGGAGUGGAAAGUUCCUACUGGUUCGGGGCAUAUUGGUAUAUUAUUCAUGAGGAAAUGGUUGCAAAAAGACAACAACAUAACACGAGAGAACUUUGUCAUAAAGUAAAAGGAGUGGGAGGUUCCUAUUGGUUCGGGGCACAUUGGCAUAUUAUUCAUGAGGAAAUGGCUGCAAGAAGACAACAACGUAACACGAGAGAACUUUGAUGUUUAGAGUUCUAUAAAUGAAGAAUCUUUGAGUUCCAAAAUGCCUCUGCUAUGUGCAUUAUUUCAUUCAGUUCUGUUUUUCUAUACCCCACCAAUUUGAAAGGUGACUUUCCGUUGUAAAUUGAGCCAUGAAAUGAUGAACUGCCCUCUGCUGAUAGUAUACACUGUCAGUAAUCAAGAUGGGAACAACAUUACUGACAAACCAAUCUUGGACUAUAUUAUGAAGUCUCUUGGUCCAGAUUGUUUCUCUGCCUCUUCAAUGAGAAGAUCAGUUGGCCUUACUACAGGAAUGCGCCACACCUUAAUUAAGUUUAACUGAAAGUGAGAGACCCGGUCUACCAUCUGAAGUAAGUGCUUCCAUCACCAGUCUUAAAUGAAAUAUGGUGAAUGGUGAAGUGUCAAACUAUAGCACCGGAGCAAAAGCUACAUUGCAAGUUAAUGAUGAGGAAAAAUGGGGUUACAAUUGCUGACCGGGAAAAGUUGUCUUGAUCAAGCAACCCUGAUGCAAUGUUCUUAGAGGAAGUAGAAAUUCAAGAGAUGUGAUGACAUUUGGUAUAUCAGGGGGCCUCUCACACUGAGAGAAGGCUUGACUUGCUGAUGAUUGUAGACGGGGACUAUGAACAUGCAACAGAGGAUCAGAUGAUAAAGAAAGGCCAGAUAUGUUGUUAAUUGGCAAGACACCGACUACUCAGUAGUGGCAAUUUGGUGCAAGGAUAGACUAAAACUUAUGUUGUGUAUGAUUUGUAGUUUGGCAGGUAUGCAACAUGUGGUUUUCCAUAGCAACGUCUAUGCUAAAGUACCAGAAACUUACUAGGAACACAAUGUUUGAUGCUUUCGGAGUACAGAGGCUACGGUUCUGCUCAAAUUUCCAUUGAUUCCUCAAAUCUCACUUCAGAGGCCACAUCUUCCUCUGCUUUUGUCUCUAUUGUCUUUCAUAAAGAAGGCACUAUUCAAUCACUAGCCAAAUCUGUCGAUCAAGCUUCACUUUGGAGUUCAAACUCUUCGACUCCCAUAUAAGAAUCACGUUGAUGUUAUCUUUUAAGCAUGCAAAUAAAGCUCAUGCUUCCAGCUGGCAUGAAUUCUUCUAAAGUUCUGAUAUUUUUGUCAAGCUAAUUUAUGGAGUGGUCAAUUUUCAAAAGAGAUGGUGCUUCUUUUGUCCCUUAUGUAAAUGGGUUUUCUCAUUGAAGAUGAAGAAUGUACGACUUCACAAUCUUGUGCAACUUUGUUCCUUAGUGUGUGUAAAUAUUAUGAAGUGUUAAAAGCCUGAAACAAG